rnacentral:rRNA from 1 species
CACGCCGUAAACGAUGUCGACUUGGAGGUUGUGCCCUUGAGGCGUGGCUUCCGGAGCUAACGCGUUAAGUCGACCGCCUGGGGAGUACGGCCGCAAGGUUAAAACUCAAAUGAAUUGACGGGGGCCCGCACAAGCGGUGGAGCAUGUGGUUUAAUUCGAUGCAACGCGAAGAACCUUACCUGGUCUUGACAUCCACAGAACUUUCCAGAGAUGGAUUGGUGCCUUCGGGAACUGUGAGACAGGUGC